AUGAACGCUAGCGGCAGGCUUAACACAUGCAAGUCGAGGGGCAACACGGGUAGCAAUACCUGGUGGCGACCGGCGCAAGGGUGCGUAACGCGUGAGCAACAUACCCUAUACAGGGGGAUAAUCCAGGGAAACUUGGUCUAAUAUCCCAUAGGAUUUACAGAUGUCAUCAUCUAUAAAUUAAAGCUUCGGUGGUAUAGGAUUGGCUCGCGUGACAUUAGCUAGAUGGUGGGGUAACGGCCUACCAUGGCCAUGAUGUCUAGGGGUUCUGAGAGGAAGACCCCCCACACUGGGACUGAGACACGGCCCAGACUCCUACGGGAGGCAGCAGUGAGGAAUAUUGGACAAUGGAUGGAAAUCUGAUCCAGCCAUGCCGCGUGCAGGAAGACGGCCCUAUGGGUUGUAAACUGCUUUUAUAUGGGAGCAAUAAGGUCUACGCGUAGACCGAUGAGAGUACCAUGUGAAUAAGCAUCGGCUAACUCCGUG
rnacentral:rRNA from 1 species